rnacentral:rRNA from 1 species
AAUGAACGUUGGCGGCAUGGAUUAGGCAUGCAAGUCGAGCGAGAACCGUAGCAAUACGGGGACAGCGGCGAAAGGGAGAGUAAUGCGUGGAUAUCUACCUCCGGGCCUGGGAUAGCCGCGGGGAAACUGCGGGUAAUACCAGAUAAUGUCUCCGGACCAAAGGUGUGAUUCCUCCGGGAGAUGAGUCCACGUCCUAUUAGCUAGUUGGUAGGGUAAUGGCCUACCAAGGCAAUGAUGGGUAGCAGGUGUGAGAGCACGACCUGCCUCAUUGGGACUGAGAUACUGCCCAGACACCUACGGGUGGCUGCAGUGGGGAAUUUUGGACAAUGGGGCAACCCUGAUCCAGCCAUGCCGCGUGCGGGAAGAA